CACCUGAGGUCAACCCCGUGACCCCGGCGAUGACGUCACGGCCCUUGCCUUUAAAUAACAAGCCCAAUUUUAAAAUAUUGUUAUUAUUAAAUAGCGUAGGUUUCAGACCCUUAAGCAGGAAUAGUUAAUCUAAAAACAGCCUAUUAAUAGUGAUUAAAAAUGAGCUAAGCUGACAGCACAUUAUUAUUAUAUCUAUUCAUAGACUUUUAGUUUGUCAGUUUGGUUUAAUGUGUGUACAAAUUUAAACAGAACCAAUAAUUCAAAGCAACCUUUAUGUUACUGUUGAACACACCCAAUAAAUAUACAGUGUGAUGGUUAAAAACUAGGUGAAACUGCUUUAAUAACUGGUUGAACCACCUUUGGAAGCAGAAACCUCGAGCAAACAAUUUCUGCAGCUGUGGAUUAGGUGAAAGAGGCACUUUAGUCCUCUCUUCAGCUCAGUCAUAUUCAUAAAAAUGAAAAUAUUUACGUCCUUGAUUAGAGGUAAAUUACCGUUUGCACAAUUAAAGAACAAGAUCUCUGAGAAGCUUGAUGUUCUUUGUGACUAAAGUGUCUAAAGUUAUUUAAAUGUUUAGUAUAGUGAAGGAUGCAGUGUAGACCAGCAAGUCAUUUCAGAGAGACUGUCUCAGUCACAGUUCAUGGUUCCAGCAGGAGGACAGCGACCCAACAUCUAUAUGCAACAAUGCACACAAUUAUUUAAGUCACACGCCCCCAAAAUUCCUUCAUUCACCAUCUGGAGGUGUCACCUUUAGGGACUGUACCUUGAAAUCCAUUCAGUAACUUGUUGCUGAACAAUCUGGUGACGACAUCAUGGACAUUGUUAUUUAUUGUCUUUAUUGUCUCACCAAUUACAAACUGGUCACCUAUAGUACAUUACUCUGCCCAUUGACUACAAAGGUCAGAGAUAAGAUUUGUCAGCAUUUAUCACAAAGGUUGAACAACACUAAUAAAGCUCAGAAUAUGUGGUUUCACUGCUACGUCUCUCAGGAAAGAGGACGACAACAUGUUUCACUGGGUGCUGGUUGCAGUCUGUGUAUUUGCGACAUGUCGUGUACGAGGCUCCACAGAAGAGAAACAUCUCAGUCAGGACGACCUUGGAGCAGAUUUUCUUCAGCAUCGUCUGCAUCCUUUGUUCCAGUGUCCUGACAUGAGCCCGUCUCCUGUUGUCCCCUCCUCAGACAGCGAUCGGCGCCAACGGCUCCACUAUUGCAUCGAUACCUUUUGAAUUUCGGCACGUGUCAUGGAGUAUUGGAGGUUAUGGGACUUAUUAGAACGUCAUCACAUUGGCAAGUAUGUUUAUUUCUAAGCUGAUUGCAUUAAAAAUAAAAAAAUAUUUUUAAAAACUAAAAGUAGAAAUGUUUGCAGUAAAUGCUGGAAAAGUACAUUCAGUAGAAAGUUGACAUGUUGGUAUAAAACCAAAAUGGGAAAGAGGACAUGUUUUAAAUUUUAUACACUAGAAUAAACCUUUUUCAUCAGACUCAUGUGCUUCUGUGAUGAACUGGUGAAGUUGGUACCAUAACAUUAAAUGCAGUACAUCAGUAAAUGUGUUUACCACCUGUGCUGUCGUAGAUAUUUUUAAACUCUUAAAUCCCAAUCUUCUGGGUCCGUCCCCGGUGCCGUUGCUGCACGGUCACCCUGCAUCUGUCAACCAGACGGGCUUCAACUUCACUGUCACCAGGCACAACACGCUGUAAGGCACUGGACCCUCAGCGCUUUAUGAAGGAGCUCUCGAAUGUUUGAAUGCGUGGACUAGAACUUGGAUGCAAAUUGUGUCUUUUGUGGUGAUUUGUAUGUUUAUGAUUAUGAAGAGGAAACUCAUGACUGUGUGUCGUUCUACAGGAACGUCUCAGAUCAGAUAAAGCACGUGAUUACUGCAAAAACAAGGUUAUGUGUGAAUUAAAUGUAACAAGGUGUUUGAACCUCCUUAAAAUAAACUGACUGAGGUUCGGAUCGCUCUCCUAAGACUCUGUUCUCACAUGACAACUUCAUCCUCCACAUGACAGAAGCUCUGGACAUGACGAUGAACGAGGUCAGGCUCAUAACAAACUUUAGCUGACAGACAGCUCUGCUUAUUGUGUUCAGACCAAGAGGCUUAAAGCGGAUGAUUUAUAUACAGACAUUAGAAACUUAACUUAAUUGUUUGAGUCUGUGGAGGCGUUUUCUGCUAUCAGAUCCCCAGAACCAUUGUUAAUGUGGUGCAGAUUCUUCCCAUGAAGCCUCUCAGAAAAGCUCAAAAACCGACUCUGGGCUGUCACCUUCAAAAGACGUUCUGCUCCUGUCUGGUUCAACCUGCUGAAGACUCCCCAGAGCUGAAGGAGCUGAUUAAGGUUAACCACAAAUACCAGAGGAGAUUAAAGGUGCUACUGCUCACUGAGCUCUUCUUCAAAAAUGACUUUGCUGUUGUUCUGCAACCUUAUUUAGAGAAGGCCGGACCCCCGAGACUUCCAGAUGGAAAAUUUGACUCGAGCUUCUUCACAGCAGAUUGUUUUCACUCUACUGUGAAAGGACACGAGGAACUGGCAAAGGGCCUGUGGAACAACAUGGCAAAAAGUGAAAAUAAUAAAGAAGUUACAUUUUCAAAACACAGCAGAACGUAAAGUUCCCAGACUGUCACACGGUGAACGCUUUUCUGCUACAAAUGCUUCAGUUUCAGCCAGAGGAAGAGAAGGAGAUGAUAAAGACAUUUUCAGAUCCAGUAAAGCUCAUCUGUCCAUCACAGGUAUAAAACAAUGACACCAAACAUUCAUGUGAUGUUUGCUGCAAACUGUCACAAGAAUAAAUCUACAAUUUUAAGUCCACGAUAAACAACGACAUAGCAAAAUGUCCUGUCUAUAUGUUUCUUGGUAACAAACCAAAACCUACCUUAAAUAUGUGUAUAAAUAUGUGUAUAUAAAUAUGUAGAAAA